AUGUAGCCGGGUCAAGUAAUAAAAUUACAGUUUCCUAAGGGGAGUAACUGAAACUCUCCCUGGUGCAGUAAGGUGUUGUUUAGUAGGUGCCCAGCGGGUGUCGCUAUGAUAGUUGUAUACAUGCAGUGCUCACCCACAGCUGUAUGAAGGCGCAUCUGUUGUGACGUCAUCACUGUGUGACAGGCGAGUGUCCCGCGGGAAAAAAAGAGAAACAGAGACCGAGAAGGAGACAAAGAGAAAAACGCAGGGAAAUACAAAGCUCCGUGACGGCAGGGGAGACAACACUGUCUACGAGUUCGGGGUAUUUACUCCAGCCUGAACAGGAAUUCCGGCAUCUUGAAGGCAGUCGGGAAAUAGGACCCACAUUUGUUUUGGAGCUGCAGGUGUUGGUCCGAAAACCAUGCACCUGGCCAUACAGUACCACAUCGCAGCCCCAACAUAAAGGAACGGCAUUUUGCAGCUUCGGGGUGUCAUUUAAGGUAUGGAUGAAUGAUUAGCGAUCUUUGAAUCUGAAGGUGUCACUAUGCAGGGAGGGAUGUUAAGAGGACGGAGCAGCAGGGGUAGAGAAACAUCACAGAUGAGUGCUGGAUGCUGCAGGACGGGUCGUCGUCGCUCCAGCCGCCUCCAGUCAAACGGUUUCCGGCCAGCACACAACAACGGCAAAUAGUGCACACAACAAAUUGCGUGAAACAAUAUUACAUAUGGUACCUUUAAAAAAACGGCGAAAUCUCUAGCCUAUAUGAUAUCGAUCACACCAGUGGCGGGCCGUCAGGGCCAGCAAGGCCUCCUCUGCUUUUCUCUACGUGUAUGCGGAUUUUAGAUUUUUUGUCCAAUCAGAUUUCAGCCUCUGUGUUGCCAUGUCAAUCUAAUCUGCCCAGGGCUGAUCGCACGGAAACUCGAUGCCAAUGCCAAAUUCGGUCCAAAAUGGGAUUUUUUUUUAACAUUGUGUUUCCACACACAUUUCAUUCUAAACAAUAAAAGCCGUACUUGCCAGCUGCCGGCUCUGGGCUC